CCAUACGUCAAAGGGAGUGGUCAUUGUAAGUAUCAGUGUUUAGUAAUCUACACAUAGCCUCUCCCUCAAAACUCACACCACUUUGCCUAAAAAUAAUUGUCAGGGCCAUUCCAUAAGAUAAGGGAUCUUUGGAUCUAUUCAAGGUCUCCCUCAUGGCAUCAAUCAUCAGAAAUGGAAGAUUCAGAGGAGACUCAGAUACAACAUGGUGCAUCAAACAAAUAUCUCAUCCAGUCAUC
rnacentral:lncRNA from 1 species